rnacentral:piRNA from 1 species
UAUUAUUACUAAUGAGAACAGUUACCAGG